rnacentral:lncRNA from 10 species
CUAAAAUCUCCCUAUUUUAUCAAUAAGCUUAUUUGGUUUUGGUUUUUGGUUUUUUGAGUUUUUUGGGUUUUUUUUUUUUUUUUUAAGAAAGGGUCUCACUCUGUCGCCCCAGCUGGAGUGCAGUGGCGUUAUCUCGGCUCGCAGCAACCUCUGCCUUUUGGGCUCAAGUGAUCCUCCCACCUCAGCCCCAAGUAGCUGGGAGUACAGGCACGAGCCACCAUGCCCAGCUAAUUUUUGUAAUUGAAACAGGGUUUCACCAUGUUGGCCAGGCUGGUCUCAAACUCCUGAGCUGAAGCGAUCUACCUGCCUCAGCUAGGAUUACAGGUGUGAGCCACCGCACCCAACCUCAAUAAGCUUAUUUGAUAAAAUAUAUGCAAUGCUCCCUUUAUUCACUUUUCAUUCAGAAUGUUUAGUAAUUUGUAUUGUUUUUCAGAUUUUCAGCCCAAUAUAUCUCCCUGCCCACUGUGUCACUGUAUUCUACCUAUACAUCAUCACGUGUUUCUGCUAUUGGCUGUAUGAUGGAACACUGCGGCUCAUUUUCCUGAAAACUGCCGAUAGUGCAUAGAGUGCUGGGAUGGAAACCAGAAGCUUUGAAUUCAAGCCUUGGUUCUGCCUUGUUUUUGCUUGGGUGGCCUUGAGUCAGCCACAUACCUUUUAAAAUCUCAAUUUAUUAGAAAUUAUUCCAAAUCAAAAUCAAAUGAGAAGGUAUAUACAAAAGUGCUUUAUCCCACAAUAAACUAUUCAAGAGAGAGCAAAGGAGAGGACAUUUACUCAACACCUCCUAAAAGGCAGCCAGUGAAAUUAGGCAUUUUAUUUAAUCCUCCUGGCAACUCUGAGAGUAAAGCAUUAUUAAUCCCAUUUUGGCUGUUUAAAGAAA